UCCUAUGUUAUUCCUAUUUUGUACUAACAGAGAAAGCUUUUGACAAUUUAAACAUUUGCUUUUAUGUUAUUCCUAUUUUGUCCUACCCUCUAUUUCACGAUCUUCUAUCGACCGACCUUCUACACCGACUUCAAUUUCUUCAAAUACAGCAACUUCACUUCCAUUUUCUGGAUCUUUCAGUUCACGGAAGGAGGCAAGGGGAGAAUUUGGAUUCUAAGAUACUAUUCGAGUUAAUAGAAUCUUUCGUUGUUUAUAUUUAAUGUUCUUUUUGAUGCAUGUACUUGAGAUGCUUGAUAUAAGUUAGAUAUUGGUUAAAAUUUUCAUUUUUAGGAUUUCGAUUCGAGCUUCUCUUCCCAAUUGAUUGAAACUCUCAGCAGGUUUCUUACCAAUCAGUUAUUGUUAUUUUAUAGUGAAGAAUAGAGAGAGGCAUGAGUGUCGUUUUCAGCUACGUCUGCUAAGGUAUGCUAUAUCUUGCUAACAAUUGCUUAUUGUGAAUCAAAUUGAAUUUGUUUCGGCUAGACUCAUGUUAUUUGAUUGAAUACGUGCUAUUGUUUACUGUUAUUAAGCUUACAGAGAGUCCGUAUAGGUUCAGUUUGUGAGAAAUGUAUGAAAAAGAAUGUCAACACAAAAUCUCCGGUGCCGUUUUUGUAUUUUUCUCUUUGGGCCGAUAAAUUGUUAGUGGUUACAGAUGGUCAAGGAGCUAAAUUUAUUUUGACUGAUAAAUUGUAUUUUAAUGUGUUGAAUAUCUUUUCAAGAAACUUGAAAUAUUAUCUUUUGAUUCA